UACAGAGGGGGCAAGCGUUAUUCGGAAUUAUUGGGCGUAAAGGGCGCGUAGGCGGCUUGGCAAGUGGAUGGUGAAAUCCCUCGGCUUAACCGAGGAACUGCCAUCCAGACUGCUUUGCUUGAGGCCGGGAGAGGUGAGUGGAAUUCCCAGUGUAGCGGUGAAAUGCGUAGAUAUUGGGAGGAACACCGGUGGCGAAGGCGGCAUCCUGGACCGGCAUUGACGCUGAGGAGCGAAAGCCAGGGGAGCAAACGGG
rnacentral:rRNA from 1 species